rnacentral:tmRNA from 1 species
GGGGUCGACUGGAUUUGACAGCGGACUUUGGAGGUGAGUAAGCAUGCAGUGCGCCGGAAGUGGGCACUUUAAUCUCGGCUUCCAAAAGAUUUAUCUGGCGAAAACAAGUACGCUCUCGCUGCCUAACUGAAGCAUAGUAGGUUGGCUUUAUUCCGACACCAGGUGUUGGAACGAGACAUCACCCAAGAACCGUUGCUCCGAGGCAUCUUGACAAGGUGGUGCAGCAAAAUCGGGGAUAGUUAGCGGCAGCCCCGUGCCGUUAAUGAAGUUUUAGGGGAUAAGGCGUCGGUUGGUGGCUCCGGUCUUGCCGACGCACGAAAACUGAAGGCGGAGAGAAGCAUGUGGAAAGCUUGCUUUCGGUCUGUUUGGACGAGGGUUCGAUGCCCUCCGGCUCCAC